rnacentral:misc_RNA from 1 species
AUUUGAUUUCCAACUCAUCAUAAGCUUAGUAAUGAAAAAUAUACUGUUUUACUAAGAACUCUAACCACCCUGGGAGGAAAAGGUUGAUGAGAAAUCUCCAAAAGUAGAUUGCUGAUAUUACGCAGACAUCCUGUCAAAUCUAAUCACAUUGAUAUUCAGAAUAUAAAAUGUUUAAGGGAAGAACAAUCCAAAGGAGGGUCAUUCCCUCAUCUUAUCUUAACAACUCAUCUACUGCUAAUCGACACCAAUUCAGAGACAAUAAACUUCGUAUCAAGAGCCAUAAUGUCACUAGGUUAACAGCAACUCACAAACCAAGAAGGGUCAUUGAUCUCAAACAGAGUUGUAUGACGAAAAAUAUUAAUAUAGCUGACAUCGACUAGUUUAGAAUUUAGAAUUAAGGGCUAAUUAUUGUUCUUGAAUAAGAGUUAAUAAGAGGGGAGAUUUACUCAUUGUGGAGUUUAACUCCAUCAAGCUUCCCAGCAGACAAAAUAAAGAAAUUUGAUGAUGUUGAGAUAUGAACAAAAUGAGAGAAUAAAAGGGAUGUUUUAGCCAGAACGAGGUCCUUGAUAUUAAGCAAAGUAAACAAAUAGCAGUAGGUCACACCCACCUUAAUUCUAUCUUCUUGUUGAGAUGGAAUGAUGAGACAUGUCCCUUGUGUGCAACAAAUAUGUUGCCUCACAUAAUUCCUUUCUAAUUUCUGGGUGGUUCCUACGAUCCUUGUUAUCAA